ACCGGAAGCUGUUCCGCGGUCUGUGUGUUUGUGUGAGUGAGCUCGGUGAUACACUGACAGCUGAGUGAUACGAUGUAACAGCGACGCGGGAAUGGAAUAACCUACCGAUACACCCUAGCACGAGAGCAGGCGUCGUGGAUUAGGUUUGGUGUUGAUUUGCUGAGGGCAGUCGUGAUUGUAACCCGCUGAUGUCGUAACACGAGCGUUUCUCACGGGAGUGAUCUUCUCGCAGAUCGCAGCCCGGGUUUUAUCCCGUCAUCCGCAGCUGUAACGCCCAUCUUCUGCGACGGGGCUCCGUCGAUCAGUGCCGCUCGUUGAUCUGCACACACCGGGACUCAUGGGGAACAGCACGUCCUGCUGCGUGUCGUCCAGCCCGAAGCUCCGGAGGAACGCGCACUCGAGGCUGGAGCCGUACCGGCCCGAACCGGAGCUGAGCCGCGAGGACACGGGCUGCAACCUGCAGCACAUCAGCGACAGAGAGAACAUCGACGAGCUCAACAUGGAGUACAAUCCUUCGGACCACCCGCGCGCCAGCACCAUCUUUCUCAGCAAGUCUCAGACAGACGUUAUUUUACCCAACAAGAAAGUUCGGGAAAAACGGAAAAGUCUGUACGUCAACCAUUUAACACACAUUGCGGAGUCAAAGCAACAUCCAUCUGGCCCAAUGAGACGCAAGUACAGCUCCUGUUCAACGAUCUUCCUGGAUGACAGCACCGUUAGCCAACCCAACCUCAAACACACUAUUAAAUGUGUUGCCCUCGCAAUAUACUACCACAUAAAGAACAGAAAUGUGGAUGGGCGAAUGCUGUUAGACAUUUUUGAUGAAAAACUUCAUCCGCUUUCAAAAUCAGAGGUGCCGUCAGACUAUGACAAGCACGACCCAGAACAGAAACAGAUCUACAGAUUCCUUCGUACGCUCUUCAGUGCCGCCCAGCUCACGGCUGAGUGUGCCGUAGUUACUCUGGUGUAUCUGGAGAGAUUAUCAACAUAUGCAGAGAUUGACAUUUGUCCUGCUAACUGGAAGAGGAUUGUUUUGGGUGCUAUCUUGCUGGCAUCAAAAGUGUGGGAUGAUCAGGCUGUAUGGAAUGUUGACUACUGCCAGAUCCUCAAAGACAUCACCGUUGAAGACAUGAAUGAGUUGGAGCGACAGUUUCUGGAGCUGCUGCAGUUCAAUAUUAAUGUUCCAUCAAGCGUCUACGCCAAGUACUAUUUUGACUUGCGUUCACUUUCAGAGGCGAACAACCUCAACUUUCCCCUUGAGCCUCUCAGCAGAGACAAGGCCCAGAAACUUGAGGCGAUCUCCAGGCUUUGUGACGACAAAUAUAAAGACUUGAGAAAAGGAGCCAAGAAGCACUCAGUGAGUGCAGAUAACCUGACAGUGGUCAGAUGGUCACCGGCCAUCAUAUCCUAAUAACGGUGGACAUUGGGGACUUCCACGAGAGACUGAGAGAAAAAGACUGUCAGAAGAAGUGUUCUCUAAGAGGACACAUAUGUGCUUAGUAACUCCACAAGACUCUUGAGACAGAGGUUUUUGUUCUAAAGAGUGUCCUUGCUGGUCAUACGGCUGCUGUAUAUACAAAACAUCCACACAACGAUCACUUUCCAGCCUGUGGCUUAGAGAAGAGAGGGGGUCACUGCUACUGCAGUUCAGAGGGAAAAUGAUAUGUGAAUAUAAAUGAGGGAGAAAGACGCCCAACGACUGGAACAGCAUUCCAACAGCUCUGUGUCAUACGUGUUUGCUAUUCUAGGUCAAGCCCUUCUUCUGUAUGUUUUCAGUGUGUGCCAAAGGCUGAAUCCUAUCUCCUAUGUAUGAUCUUAGUUGAUUCUACUUUCUGUUUAACUAAGUGAACCCAGUCACCUGCGGCCGUCCGCCCAGGAUCUGGAGGCAAUGGUUGCAUGCAGUUUUUUUUUUUUUUUUUUUUUUCAAACUAUUAUUUUAACUGAUGCUCCCAGAUCAGAAGCAAUGUUUAGAAACCGCCACAAGAAUAAACUUUUAAAAGUUGCAAUAAAAA